AGAGUUUGAUCAUGGCUCAGGAUGAACGCUGGCGGCGUGCCUAACACAUGCAAGUCGAACGGAGAUUAUUCGCUGCGGAGCCUUCGGGCGAAGCUUGAAUGAUCUUAGUGGCGGACGGGUGAGUAACGCGUGGGCAACCUGCCUUGCACAGGGGGAUAGCAGUUGGAAACGACUGGUAAUACCGCAUAUCUUAGAGAGACCGCAUGAUCUUUUUAAGAAAACGUUAGUGGUGCAAGAUGGGCCCGCGUCCGAUUAGCUGGUUGGUGAGGUAGAGGCUCACCAAGGCGACGAUCGGUAGCCGGCCUGAGAGGGUGAACGGCCACAUUGGGACUGAGACACGGCCCAAACUCCUACGGGAGGCAGCAGUGGGGAAUAUUGGACAAUGGGGGAAACCCUGAUCCAGCGACGCCGCGUGAGUGAAGAAGUAUUUCGGUAUGUAAAGCUCUAUCAGCAGGGAAGAAAAUGAC
rnacentral:rRNA from 1 species